rnacentral:misc_RNA from 1 species
GAUGAAGAACGUAGCGAAAUGCGAUACGUAAUGUGAAUUGCAGAAUUCAGUGAAUCAUCGAAUCUUUGAACGCAUAUUGCGCUCUCUGGUAUUCCGGAGAGCACGCUUGUUUGAGUAUCAGUAAACACCUCAACUUCCAUAUCUUUUUUGAAAUGGGAGUUGGACUUGAGUGAUCCCAACGCUUUUCCUCACCGAAAAGUGGCGGGUUACUUGAAAUGCAGGUGCAGCUGGACUUUUCUCUGAGCUAUAAGCAUAUCUAUUUAGUCUGCCUAAAAACAGAUUAUUACCUUUGCUGCAGCUAACAUAAAGGAGAUUAGUUCUUGUGCUGACUGAUGCAGGAUUCACAAAGACAGGCUUCGGCCGACUUUGUAAACUCGAUCUCAAAUCAAGUAAGACUACCCGCUGAACUUAAGCAUAUCAAUAAGCGGAGGA